AAUAGAUUCACUUGCAACGCGUCAUACCGAGGUUUGUGGUUUGAGUAAAUAAGUCCUUCCGCAAACAAACAAGCUGCAAGAAAAGGGGGCGUUUUGAGGUUUGAAAUUCACCACUCACAACCAUUAACACAACAAAUGUGGUGACGUAAUGGAGGUGCAACCAAUAACGUUAGUGUAUUGCUUCAAGCGCGAGAAAAAUACUUUAAAAUUACAGCAUUCUUUCCCGAAGCAAAGAGAACAGUUCAAGGUUUGGAAACAGUUUUCUUCUAUUCACCUUAUUUUGCACGACAACAAGGGUGACGCCAUUGCGUUCGUUUUGUCAUCUUACUCCCGUCUGAGAAAGACUUCAACUUCCGGCUCAUGAGAGGGAUGAGAUUCUGCGCUAGUUGAAACGAACGGGCCUAAGGACGGGAAUCCGAUUGAGGAACACCCCAGAAAUGGCUCGGCUACGAUGUUCCGAUAAAGAAGUCACGCCGGGUGUUGAAUAUUGUCAGAUUCAGAUGCAUCAAUGAGAGUCAGUAAUGCAGUGGAUAACUAUGAGGAUGAUCACAUCCACAUGCCCCACAGCUGUGAUGCAGAAUCACAAUGGGAGGAUCAAUCUGUCUUUGGCCACAACCUGAUCUUCUCAGAGAGACUCUCCAGCGUCUUGAUGCUCUUUAGCGAAAGUAUGAGCAGCACAGACUAACGUUACAUGAAGAAUCUUACAACGCUUCGAAAAGAAUAAAAAAGGCACAUGACGUGAACAUUGCGGAAUCUGUAAGGCGCCUCCAUAAUUCAGAGAACAACCCACACAAAUACGUUCCACAAACCAGAAUAAAUUCAUCACAUAACCUGGCUGUGACCACUUACCUCUUCGAAGAAUUAAGGUCAACUUUUACAGACGUUGACCCUGAAUGUGUAAAAGGUUGGAAGAUGUAUUUUGAGACUUUGCGGAGGAAGUAUUCUUUGGCUCAGCCUGAAAAGGCCCAGAAAAGAAAAACUAUGACAAGCAUUGCAAAGAACCUUCAAAGAAAGCGACUGUUGCUGGAGACCAGGUCCGGGGUUGUACAAACCAACACAGAAAAGGAACUUUGGAAGACCGCAACAAUAGAACUGAUGUCUGAUGAAGAUGAUGCUAUUGUUGAUGGAAGGCCAGUGUGAAUGGUGAGGUCUCCACCAAUCUGCUCUCUGCUAGGUACUAUAAAACAGACUAGAGGCUGACCCACACUAUGCGUCACACCACCAGCGUAUCAUGGCAGUUUGAAAAAUGUUAACUCGUAUAAAAAAAA